UUUAAUCUUCCUUCUCAAAAAGAAAAAAGAAAAGACAAGCCAAACAACAGCCUUCGAGACAUUGGGCAAGAGUCAUUGGAAGUCAGAGAUCUCUGAGACAGGAACAUUGAAGAGAUCUGGAGCUUGCCUGGCUACUGCCGGGGAGAGAGUCCAGUCCUUGCUGCAGGUUGGGGGGUCCCGGGAGAGCCCAGUAUACUCUGCGAGUCCAAGAUACAGAAGCUUGAGUCCCAGGAAGUCGAGGUGGCAAGAGUUGGUAGGGAAGAGUACCAGAGAGAAGCCAGCUGAAGAGCGUGAGAUCUCCAGGACUCCGCUGACAUCACUCAGUCUACCCAUCAGUGCCCAUGUGUGGGGGAACCACCAGGCCAGGAAGAACAAGGCUCAGGUUCACACGGGACUGGAAUAGUGUCUAUACCCGUGGCCAGAUUGGAGAACUCUGUGACAUAUGGCAUGAAAGAGUGGCUUCGUUGGUGGGGAAGAUGAACUCGGCACUGCCUGCUGAGGUCAUGCGUACCAAGACUUAAAAGGAAGCCUGAAAGCAUCGAGCUGCUUCCAAGUAACUAAACCACAUCCCAGAAAAACAUCUGGGCAAUAUAUUAGAAAUACAGACUGUGCCCUAUGACUAGAUAAAAUGUUCAGAUAGAUAAAUGUGAACAAAGUUAAAAAGCUAGAUCACUUCUGGUUGUGAGUAUACUGUCUCCAUCUGUGCAGGCUGCUGUAACAAAAUACACUACAGCUGGGUGUCUGAACACAGCUGUUUAUUCCCUGGAGGCUGGGAGGCCUAGGUCCAGGUGUCAGCAGGUUGGGUGACUGGUGAGGUUCUGCUUUCUGGUUCAGAGAUGACACCUUCUUGCUGUGUCCUUACACGGUAGAAGGGGCAAGGGAGCCCUCUGGGGCUUCUUUCAUGAGGGCACUAAUCCUAUUUGUGAGGUUUUUCUUCCAUGACCCAGUCACCUCUAAACACCAUCUCCUUAGGGUGAGGAUUCAACAUGUGAAUUUGGGGAGUGGGGGUGUGGGGGCACCAACAUUCUGACUAUUAAGAUAAUCUCUAUUCAAAUUUAUUUGUUGGCUUAUUUGUUAGGAACACAAUGUCCAUCACACAGCAAGGUAAAACUUCAAUCUCUAAGCAUCUGAUAAUAAAGAUCAAAUGUGCAGAAGCAGGAGAAUAAGAAGACAAAUCAAGCCCAACCCAGAAAUGACAUAGAUGCUAGGAUUAGCAGAUAAAGAUAUGAUAAUCGUCAUUACAGCCUGUCUCAUAUGUUCUAGAAGCUAGAGGAAACAUUGAGCAUUCUAAGUAGAUAGAUGGAAGACCUUUAGAAAUUCUAAAAGCCAAUCAAAUGGAAGUUCUAGAGACAAAAACUACAAGGUCAGAGAUGGAAAUAUAUCAGAUAGGAUUCACGGAGGGUUAGACAUCAGAGAUGAGUGAACUUGAUGACAUAGCAACAGGAAUGAUUAAAACUAAACACACAGAGAAAAAAGAACUUUUCAACAUGGGCAGAAGAGCAUCAGGAACCAUGAAUGAGGCAAUUUCAAGAGGCAAUAUGUGCAUGAAACUCCAAAACCACAAUGAGAUACUGCAUCCCUACCAGGAUGGUUAUGAGAAUUUAUAACUUGAUGUGCCUAUGGGAGUGUUUGGGUUUGGAUGUGAGGUGUCCCCCAAAAGCUCAUGUGUGAGGCAAUGCAAGGCGGUUUGAAGGAGAAACGAUAGGAUUGUGACAGUCUUAAUCCAAUCAGUGAGUUGACCACCUGAUGGGAUUUAUUGAGGCAGGUGGGGUAUGGCUGGAGGAGGCGGGGCAUUGGGGCAUGGUUUGGUUGUACCUGGCAGGUGGAGACCUCUCUCUCUCUAUCUCUCUCUCUCUCUCUCUCUGCUUCGGAUUGUCAUGUGAGCUGCUUCCCUCUGCCACACUCAUCUACCAUGAUGUUGAGCCUCACCUCCAGCCUGCUGUAUAUGGACUAAGACCUCUGAAACCGUGAGCCC
rnacentral:lncRNA from 1 species